CCUACGGGAGGCUGCAGUGGGGAAUAUUGGGCAAUGGGCGCAAGCCUGACCCAGCAACGCCGCGUGAAGGAAGAAGGCUUUCGGGUUGUAAACUUCUUUUCUGAGGGACGAAGAAAGUGACGGUACCUCAGGAAUAAGCCACGGCUAACUACGGUCCAGCAGCCGCGGUAAUACGUAGGUGGCAAGCGUUAUCCGGAUUUAUUGGGUGUAAAGGGCGUGUAGGCGGGAAAGCAAGUCAGAUGUGAAAACUCAGGGCUCAACCCUUAGCCUGCAUUUGAAACUGUUUUGCUUGAGUGCUGGAGAGGCAAUCGGAAUUCAGUGUGUAGCGGUGAAAUGCGUAGAUAUACGGAGGAACACCAGUGGCGAAGGCGGAUUGCUGGACAGUAACUGACGCGGAGGCGCGAAAGCGUGGGGAGCAAACAGGAUUAGAUACCCGAGUAGUC
rnacentral:rRNA from 1 species